rnacentral:rRNA from 1 species
AAUAUUAUUUGUUUAUAUUUAGGUAUUGCAUACCAUUUAAAGAGAAUUUUAUGGAUAUAAAAUAUAGAAUUAAAAGGUAGAAAAAUUUAUUAUUUUUAUUGUUUCAUAAUAAAAAUUAUAAUUUUUGGGGUUGAAAAGUCGACUUUUAGGAUAUCUGUUUAGAUUUAGGGAAUUAGAAAUUUAUUAUUGUUAAAGUUGGCUAUUAUAAAAAAUAAGAGUUAAAGUAUCUUUAUUAUUAGUUUUAUAACUGUUUAUGUAUACGGGUUUAAGCUUAUGAUUUGGUAUAUAAUAAUUCUUUAUUAUAUUAAUUAUUUUAAAAUUAGUAGUUAAUAGAAAUAAUGUGCAUAAUUAUUAAUAUAAUUAAAAAACUCAAAAAUUAAUCAAAUGUUUUUUAAAGACUUAGACUUUUUAAUAAAGUUUGCUUCUGCCCAGUGAUGUAAUUUAAAUGGCAGUCUUAGCGUGAGGACAUUAAGGUAGCAAAAUAAUUUGUGCUUUUAUUGAGUUCCAGUAUGAAUGAAGUUAUUGGUUAAUUUAUUUUUUAAUUUUUAAAUGAAUUUAUGUUCAGUAUAAAAAAGUAUUGAUGUAAUAAAACAAAGAUAAGUCUUCGGAAAUUCUUUUUUAUCCUGUAAUAUUUUGUUGUAGGUUAAAAAUUUUCUAGGGCAGAAUUUUAUAUAAUUAUUAUAUCUAUUAAUAAUUUAAAGAAUUACUCCGGAGUUAACAGAAAAUCAUAUCUAAUCUAGUUCUUAUAGUAAGAUAAGUUUUACAUCGAUGUUGUAUUUAAGUUUAUUAAAAAAGGAGAAGAUUUAAAUUUUAAGACUGUUCUUCUUUUAAUUAACUUAACGUGAUAUUAGUUUAAUUCAUUGUGAGAUAGAAUUGUUUAUCUUGUUUAUUACUACAUUAAAAUUUUAAUAGUACGAAAGGAAAAUUAAAAAAAGUUUUAAACUUUAUAAAGUUUGGUUA